AGAAUCAGGUACAUAGCAAAAAAAAAAGAAGAUGAAAGGGAAAAAAUUGUCAAAUCCAAAGCAAAGUUGUAAUAAAAUUAUUUUUUUGUCACGAUUUUAAUAAAAUUACCUUAGUGUCAAUCAAUGGGAUAGACUUCAAUUUUGGAUAAUUCACUAAAUCUUCCUUUUGGUAAGGUUCUCAUCUGUUCUCAAAGAUAACUUUUUCUUGUUUUCCUUCCAAUUUUCUUUUGUUUUUAACCUUUUUAGUUAUUAGAUACCGAUCGAAAACUUUGCGAAGGAGUUGCUCAAAGCGUAGACUCCGGAUGGAUUACGUCAAGAUGGGUUAAUCAUUACAUAUUAGCUGUCGUGAUCAUUGCAUUAUCAUAUACACUUUCAACUUUCAGGGGACGAUUCUGUUACAAAAAAAAAAACUUUCAGGGGACGAUCUUCCGUCUUGGUUUAUUCAAGACAAAUUGGCUUAAUUAUUUUAUUAUUUUCUUUCUGAUCUUCCCUUUUCCCUUUUCCCUAAAAUAAAUAAUAAUUGAUGCCUUAUGUAUUAUUACUUGCCGAUUUUUUGAUGCAUACAAACUAUAAAAGUGCUCAUCAGUUAUUGAAGGCUGACUUAACUUCCUUAGACCAUCUGCAAUGGGAGUACAUUGAGAAUCCUUAGCGUUUUAACCUAGGCAAAUAAGAGGAGAAUAAUAUUAUCUAAGCUAAAUAACCUAAGGAUCAAUCCUUAACUAAGGGAUUUAAGGAUUUGAUCCUUAGGACAGCUGGCAUGUGGGAUUGGUGUGGCUGAUGUUUUGUGUUUCGCGUUGGAGAAAAAAAAAAUUCAUUCUCCGGCAACCCUCCGCCUCACUCACUCGUCUUCUUCUUCAAGUCAUCUCCCUUGCAACCCAGUGAAAAAAGGCUCGAGCUUUAGUAAACAAUGGCUGCUUCUUUCCCAAACUUUAACUCUGACUCUGGAUUGAACAUCUCUUGACUCGCAGUUACAUCACUGGUUACCAGGCUUCAAAGGAUGACAUCGCUGUCUUUACAGCUCUUGCAAAGCCCCCAACUUCACAGUAUGUCAACGCAUCUCGUUGGUACAGCCACAUCGAUGCCCUCUUGAGGAUUUCUUUGUAAAGUAAGGACAGAUCACACAGAAUGAACAAAGAGAUUCAGAUAAUGCUGACCAAGCUAAGGAAUGAGAUGGAGGCUGCAGGGUACAAGUCCAUUUGUGAGUGAUGUAAUGGUUUUCAACAUGUAGCUAUGUAUUUCAUGAGUGCUAUUUGAUGUCAGGAAGUAAUUCGUUAUCUAUUUGUGUUACAGAACUCAGGAAGCUUCUCCAUUUGUUGCAUCAUGUUCAUUAUGUCAGAAUCUAUAGAGAAUUCCAAAUA